CCUACGGGAGACAGCAGUGAGGAAUAUUGGUCAAUGGGCGGGAGCCUGAACCAGCCAAGUCGCGUGAGGGAAGACGGUCCUAUGGAUUGUAAACCUCUUUAGGCGGGGAGCAAUGCAGGGCACGCGUGCCCGGAGGGAGAGUACCCGCAGAAUAAGCAUCGGCUAACUCCGUGCCAGCAGCCGCGGUAAUACGGAGGAUGCGAGCGUUAUCCGGAUUGAGUGGGGUUAAAGGGUGCGUAGGCGGAUUUUUAAGUCAGCGGUAAAAUGUCCGGGCUCAAACCGUGCCGGCCGUUGAAACUGGGGUUCUUGAGUGGGCGCGAAGUAUGCGGAAUGCGUGGUGUAGCGGUGAAAUGCAUAGAUAUCACGCAGAACUCCGAUUGCGAAGGCAGCAUACCGGCGCCCGACUGACGCUGAGGCACGAAAGCGUGGGGAUCGAACAGGAUUAGAUACCCUAGUAGUC
rnacentral:rRNA from 1 species